rnacentral:tRNA from 2 species
CUGUGGCUCAGCUGGAUAGAGCAGCGGCCUUCUAAGCCGCGGGUCAGGGGUUCGAAUCCCUUCAG